AAGGGUGAGACCACUCUCUUCCACUCAGAUGUGAUAAACAAGUCUAAUUUCAUAGUCCCCAUGAAAAUCAAGUGAAAUGAGGUUGAGUUUCCUGAAAAUUGGCAUUUUGCUAAUGCCGUUCCAGCUAUAGAGCAGAGAUUUGAAAGGAUUGAACAGAUUGGUCAAUAUCCUAAUGGAGGAGGAUAUCUGAUUUUCUCCAACUCUUUUCGUCAUUCUAGCAGCCCUAGAAUUUCAGAUUUUGAGCCCUCUAGAGCUUCAAGCUCUUCUAUCCCUGUAAGAACCACUAGGGAAGAAGAAGGUUUUAGUUCAACAAAUCCUAAGAAUAUUAAGCUAACAGGUGUUAGAAGUAACACCAACGUGGCCAGACCAUUUCACACGGAGGAAAAUGAGUCUACUUAGGAAUCACAACAGGAUGAGUCCCUUGUUAUGUCUCUUACAUAUUCCCAAAUGAUUAACGCUGUAAGCCUAAGUGAUGAGGAAUUUGAGAUCAACAAGGAUCUCUUAAGAAAAGACUUCUAUUCUGAAGUCAAUAAGGAAAGGAAAGAAUGGUUCUUUAGCACUGUUCUUAAAGACAUUAGAACCCUCUACCAAGAAGAAUUCUAUGAGUACUUAAGACAAGAAAAGAAAAAUAUUAAGUUUUGGAUUUGGUUUGAACUCUUCAAAAAAGAGGAAUAUCCAGACUAUCCCUAUAAGCGUAUUAACAACACAUCUACAAAAGCUAAGAUAUGGAAAACCAGUGACAACAUUGUCAUAGAAUCCUUCAUCCUCCUGAAGCUAAGAUAGAAAAGAAUGUUAAUGGAACCAUAGUUAAAGCUUCACCUUUUAAGACUAAGCCUGAGGAUAAAGGAACUGCUAGUGCAAUUGAUAUUAGAAGAAUCAUGGAAUAGAAUAUUUACACUAACAUGUUUCUUAAGACUAUUGGUGAUCAACUCAACAGGUUUGAGGAGAUCAUUGAAACUCAAGAUCACAUUAAGAAUUCCUUUGUUAAGAAUGACAAGAAGCCUUUGUUUAAGCCUUUUGAAUGCUCUAAGAAAUUCCAGGAAAAUCCUCAUAUUGAUCAAGCUUUCAUUGAUAGAAUUAGCCAAAAGGUUAAAGACAACCUUGUUAUCCCUGAAACACCUCAGCCUUUUGUUAUCCCUGAAACACCUCUGCCUUCCCAUAGGAGAAUUAAUUUGGUUAAGAGAAAUAUUAGUUCUGAAACAAAGGUUAAUGGACUAAUUAAGAUAGCCAAUGGAUCUUCUAACCAAAGGGUUUUUAGGAUCAAAAACCAUUGCGAUAGCCAAUCAAAGACUAUAAACAUCCUAAGCCAAGAACAAAAGCUUGUCCCAGAUACUUUAACUAUUAAGGAUCUUCAAGAAGAAAUAAAGCAGUAUAAGAAGGAGAUUAAGGACUUAAGACAACCUGCAAGCUUAGAAUUUUUUACCCUCCAUGAUCAAAUCAACAGGGUUGGUAUUUACCAUCGUAAUCCUAACCAGGAAAACCUUAAAGAAGUUCUUGAAUCCUCACAAGUCAAUAAUGAAGAGAUAAAUGCAUACUUAAAUACUAUUAGUAGAGUUAUCUUCCAAAGGUGGGAAGUCUCCCUUACUAUAGUAAUUAAGAAUAAAUUUGUCAUUGAUAUUAUUGCUUUGAUUGAUUCAGGAGCAGCUUUGAAUUGUCUUCAAGAAGGUCUAGUACCUACCCAACUUUAUGAGAAAACCAGACAAACUCUUUUUGGAGCCAAUGGCAAAAAACUUACUAUUAAGUAUAAGCUGUUUGAUGCUCAUAUUUGUAACCAAGGCAUUUGCAUUAAGCAAACCUUCAUUCUAGUUAAAGAUCUUAAGGAAAAAGCUCUCCUUGGAGUCCCCUUUUUAAGUUCUAUCUUUUCCAUGUGGGUAGAUGACCAAGGUAUAAGAACUAAGCUCUUAGAUAAAGAAAUAUUGUUUGAAUUUGCCAACCCACCUGGUGAAAGAAGUAUAAACACCUUAAAGGAACAGGUGAUUAAGGCUAAGGAAAACCAUGUUAAUCUCUUAAAGCAAGAGAUCGCUAUGGUUAGAAUAGAAGACUAAUUAAAGGUUAAGAAAGCUCAAGAUGCCAUAGAAAGAUUUAAGAAUAAAAUUAUUGGAGAAGUUUACUCUAACAUUCCUAAUGCGUUUUGGCAUAGGAAACAGCAUGACGUAGAGUUACCUUAUGAGCCAGAUUUUAGUGAGAAAAAUAUUCCCACUAAAGCAAGACCAAUCCAGAUGAACAAGGAGUUAUUAAGCUACUGUGAAAAGGAGAUCCAGGAUCUUCUUGAUAAGAAGUUGAUAAGGAAGUCUAAGUCCCCUUGGAGUUGUUCAGCCUUCUAUGUUCAGAAACAAGCUGAAUUAGAAAGAGGAACACCUAGACUAGUUAUCAAUUACAAGCCUCUCAAUGAUGUUUUAAGAUGGAUUAGGUAUCCUAUCCCAAAUAAGAAAGACCUCCUUCAAAGAUUAGUUAAGUCCAAAGUUUUCUCUAAGUUUGACAUGAAAUCAGGAUUUUAGCAAAUCCAGAUUGCUGAAAAUGAUAGGUAUAAAACAACAUUUGUGGUUCCCUUUGGACAUUAUGAAUGGAACGUAAUGCCCUUUGGUCUUAAGAAUGCACCUUCAGAAUUCCAAAACAUAAUGAAUGAAAUAUUUAACCAGUUUUCUAAUUUCAUCAUUGUAUACAUUGAUGAUGUUUUGAUUUACUCUGAUUCUGUUGAGCAGCAUUGGAAACAUCUCAACAAGUUUGUUGAGACUGUUAAAAGUAAUGGUCUAAGCUUGUCAGCCACUAAGAUUAACCUCUUUCAAACUAAGGUAAGAUUCCUAGGUCAUCAUAUUCAUUAAGGAACAAUCACCCCCAUUCAAAGAUCAAUUGAGUUUGCUGAUAAGUUUCCUGAUGAGAUUAAGGAUAAGAAACAACUACAACGUUUCUUAGGAAGCCUUAAUUAUGUGUCAGAAUUUAUUCAAGACUUAAGCCAACUUUGUGCCCCUUUAAGACAAAGACUUGAGAAAAAUCCAGUAUCUUGGAAUGAGGAUCAUACCAAGAUUGUCAAAACUGUCAAAUCUAGAGUCAAGACCUUACCAUGCCUUGCCCUAGCUGAUCCAAAAGCCUUUAAGAUUGUAGAGACUGAUGCCUCUGACAUAGGUUGUGGCGGGAUUCUCAAGCAAAGGAUUGAUAACCAGGAGAAGUUGGUUAGGUAUACUUCAGGAACCUGGGGAAGUGUCCAACUCAACUAUAACAGUAUUAAAAAGGAAAUUUUAAGCAUUGUUUUAUGCAUUUCAAAAUUUCAAGAUGAUCUUUUAAAUCAAGAAUUUUUAUUAAGAGUUGAUUGCAAAUCGACAAAAUCAGUUUUACAAAAGGAUGUUAAGAAUAUAGCUUCUAAGCAUAUUUUUGCUAGAUAACAAGCUAUUUUAAGCAAUUUUGAUUUUCAAAUUGAAUAUAUUAAAGGAGAUAAUAACUCAAUCCCUGAUUUCUUAACUCGUGAAUUUUUGUAGGAUUCAUAAGAUCAUGACCCCCAAAAAAGAAAAACAACCUCUUAGGCCCAUUAAGAAAUCUAUUGCCUCUAUGAAAUCUCAUUUAGCUUUAUCUGAGAAAUUCAUGCCUUUGUAUUAUGAACAUUUUGAUGUUGCAAGAUCUUCAAAUGAUCCUAUUUCUUUAGCAACUCUUAAGCAUCCUUCUUCCCCUAACAAGGAUAAAGGAGACAUUUCGGAUUCUCUACCUUUUGUGGAGGAUUCCUUUCCCACAAAUCCAUCUUCUAUAGACACUAACCCUUUAUCUGUUUAUAAAAGUCUUUGUGAUUUGCAGGACAGGUGCAGGGUUUUGGAAAGAAAACUAGAUCUAGUUGACUUUCCCAAAACACAUCCGGAUGCGCUUAAAAACCAAGCCCUAUUUUCCCCACUGGGAAAUGGAGAGAAUAAGCAAUUCACCCCACUGGUGAAUGUAAAAAAUUUAAGUGAGGAAGAGUGGAGUUUCCUCAAUUUAAGAAUGUAUUUUCACAAGAAGCAGAUUUUCUACUCUCUUAAGGAAGAUGAUGUUCGUCUUCUAAUUUAUGAAAAAGCUAAGGCUCUUGCAAAGGAAAAACAAGUUUUUAUCUCUGCCUAUCUUCAAGAUCUUCACAUCUAUCUUUCAACCAUACUUGGUCUUAGGGUUCCAGGGUUAAAAUUGGUUAAAGAUAUGGAGUUUGACAAUUCUAAGAUUUGCAGAAGCCUUAGUGAGCAUCUUCUCCAUCAGCAAGACAACAAGCAGUUUUGUAAUUGCAACAUAAACUUUACUAUCAGCAGAGUUUGCAUUGACUUACAAUAUUACCAGCCAAUUAGCUUUGCUUUCAAGAAUGAAGUAUUAACCCUAACCCCAGAGCUUCUUCUUGAUUAUGGGUUAGUUCACCAGCUGGUCUGCUUUGAUCCCAGCCAAGCAAGUAAUUUCAGAAGAAAAAUUAACUUAGGAUUAAUUCAGGGUUUUAAGAUGAAUAAGAAGUUUGCUGACGCUAUCAUUAUCAGCAAAGCUCUUGAAUGGAUCUCUAAUAGUAGUCUUCUCCCAGCACAACAUUAUGUUUCUCUUCAUUAUCAGAACAUGAGACCUACUCUAUUGUCCUGCCCUUUGGAGCAACCUAAUAUCUGUGUUGAGCCUCUUAUUAAGCAAAUCAAGCAUUGGAGAGCCAGAAUCAUUAGCAGGGAUUUUGAGGCUUAUCCUAAAAAUAUGGGAUAUUUUAUUUCUGAGGAUUCCCUUCAUCAGAUUUUUUGCAGUAAAAGGAUUGAUCCCCUGCCCUCCAAAUCCAUCGUUGAAGAUACGCAGCUACUAAUGGAACACCGGUCAGAUUAUAUUCUUCCCUGAUUCCUCAUCAGUCCUCCUCCAAUGACGUUGAUUUUCCACUAAAAAGCUUUAAGCAUUAUCAACACCAAAAGCAACCUUGUCUCCCAGCAUGUGCAUCCACAGUUCAAGAAAUGGCCUACCAGUCGUUAUUUUCGCCGAAAGUAAGAUUCCUUGCUGAAAAGUCUAAAAGUGCUACAGUAACAUGUUACUGUUCACUUUUACUAUUUAUGCACGGGUUAACUAUUCACAGCAGUUGGUCAAAAAACAAAUAGUGUUUUGUCUCCUGAUUGGUACUAUUUAAUAUUCUCUUUUUGGCUAUUUAAAGGGGCUUGAUCCUCAGUUGUAAGCAUCUCUCAUUUUUCUCUUCCAGCUUAUGCUCUCCCAUCUCUCUUCUUUCUCUCUCAUCAUGUAAGCUCUCCAGCCCAAAGCUUUCUUCAAAGCUUUCCUCCCUUCUCCCAUUGUAAGAUAUUCAUCUCCUUAUAUAAGUAUGUUUUAUGUUACACCUCCUAUUAUGGAUGGUUUUCAAGCUAUGUAGUUAUAUAAGUAUGUUUGAUGUUUUCAUUAUAUCUCCUAUUAUGGAUGGUUUUCAAUUUAUGUAAUUAAAAGUUUGUGGUUCCUUCUCUUUAAAUUUAUUGUUAAAUAUCUUGUGUAUUUUCUGAUUUCUCUUCUUUGUUUUGAAUUUUGACAUAAUUCAUGUUUUCAUUGCCAAUAUCUUGAUUUUGCUGAAAGUGGUGUGGGGUUGGCAGCCACCACAAUUUGCUUAUUUGAAAAAGAAGAGCUUGAUGCUAAUUCCUUUUGAGAGGGAUUAGCUUUAGUAACCUGCUUAAAGGUCUAAGACCCUAAAAUAGUUGGGUAUUGGGUAGUCUUGACUGGAUUAGAAGGAUCUGAAAGAUCACAGUACAAGGUCAUCAUCUUGUUGGGCAUAAGAUUAGAAGAAUGAAGCCUUGCUUCUUCUUCAAGUUCAACUUGUUGACUCCAAAGCAUUUUAUGGGGAGAAAGAUCUUGACUGGAUUGGGUUUUCUGUGGGUUAGGAGCUUGACUUCUUGGAAACACGAUCAACCACCACCAUCAUUGAAAUCAUGUACGUCGAAGAGUUCUUGGAAACCCAAGAACAAAGUCCAUACUAAUAUGCUACCAUGGUUUGUUGGGAAUGGUUAAGUGGCAAAUAGAGCUCUGCUUGCUGCUUGGUGCCUUUGAUUAAUUGGCAAAUCCAACAUCAAUCAACCAUUAUAUGCACGUCUCUCCACAUCCAACGUCAAUAAAACUGAUAAAAAACAAUAGCAAAGGUUUUAUCAUGACCGAAAUGCUCAACUAAACCCCCACCGUGGAGUUUCGUAAUUAGAAACUCCCAAANNNNNNNNNNNNNNNNNNNNNNNNNNNNNNNNNNNNNNNNNNNNNNNNNNNNNNNNNNNNNNNNNNNNNNNNNNNNNNNNNNNNNNNNNNNNNNNNNNNNUUCUCCCCAUAAAAUGCUUGGGAGUCAACAAGUUGAACUUGAAGAAGAAGCAAGGCUUCAUUCUUUUAAUCUUAUACCCAACAAGAUGAUGACCUUGUACUAUGAUCCUUCUAAUCUAGUCAAGGCUACCCAAUACCCAACUAUUUUAGGGUCUCAGACCUUUAAGCAGGUUACUAAAGCUAAUCCCUCUCAAAAGGAAUUAGCAUCAAGCUCUUCUUUUUCAAAUAAGCAAAUUGUGGUGGCUGCCAAUCCCACACCACUUUCAACAAAAUCAAGAUAUUGGCAAAAUGAUUUAAAUCAACCUCUUUUGGUUAUCGAAAGAGAAUUUUUCUCUGAAAACCCAAGAGAGAUUGCAGCAAAAGCUUUUCAUGAAAAUUUUCAUUAUCCUUCUGGUGAUCUUUUAAAAACAAGAGAAUUUUAUGAGGUAAUCCUCGUAGAAACUGGUUCUGUUAAAAUUAAGCAUAACGUUGAUAAAUAAAGUAAUUUGGAUUUGACAUUUUCCACCUGUCAUAUCUAUAAGAUUCUUACUGUUAAGCAAUGGGGAGGAAAUCCCAAUUUCUCAAGAGAGUUCUCUAAACCUUCAAAACUAAGAUUUUUCAACUAUUGGGAUUAUUAGAGAUUAUGGUUCAAUGCUUUUCUGAUCCAGAAUAAGGACUUCCAUCGUUCAUGGAUGUUCUAUUUUCCAUCUAAGCAUCAACUUUCUUCCUUCCCAUUUUGGUUCCACAAUUGGUGGACUUAUUUCGGUCCAUCCAUUAAGAUUCUUCCUAAACCCAUCUUAGAUGGAUUUGAGCUAUUCAAUAGUUCUUUUGUUAUCCCCAGAGAACUUUCAGCUUUUCCCCCUUCAUUAUUCUUUUUCAAUAAAUUUGGCCUUGCUUGGAUAGUCCAGUGGGACUACAUUAUCAUUGCGGAUGAAUCAGCAGCUUUUCCAACUCUUGGAAGCAGUUAAGCAAUAUUUCCUCAAGCAUACCACACAAGCUUCAGCUAAUGAUGAUAUGUCACAGUUUCUUCUCAAGAAACAACAGCUUCAAACCAUGCUCGCAGCAACAAAAACCCCUCAAGAUUUCCAGAGAAUCCUUGAUGAAGGAAGCUCAAGUUUUUAUCAAGAAAACUCUUAUGUAGAAUCUGAUGAUUUAACAAGCUACCUUCCUGAUAAUGGUGAUGACUGUGAAGGUAUCCUUCCUCCGAUAAGGAAAUCCAAGUAAUCUUUUGCUUCAUGACUACAAGGUUAUUCUCUCCAAUGAGCUCAUUUCAACUCCAAAAGCAGUUUUGUCUUCCAGCAUGUGCGUCUACAGUUCAAGAAAUGGCCUGCCAGUUGUUUUUCCCGUCGAAAGUAAGAUUCCUGUUGAAAAGUCUAAAAGUGCUAUAGUAAAUGUUACUGUUCACUUUUACUAUUCAUGCACGAGUUAACUAUUCACAACAGUUGGUCAAAAAGCAAAUAGUGCUUUGUCUCCUGAUUGGUACUGUUUAAUAUUCUCUUUUUGGCUAUUUAAAGAGGCUUGAUCCUCGUUUGUAAGCAUCUCUCAUUUUUCUCUUCCAGCUUAUGCUCUCCCUUCUCUCUUCUUUGUCUCUCAUCAUGUAAGCUCUCCAGCCCAAAGCUUUCUUCAAAGCUUUCCUCACUUCUCCCAUUGUAAGAUAUUCAUCUCCUUGUAUAAGUAUGUUUUAUGUUACACCUCCUAUUAUGGAUGGUUUUUAAGCUAUGUAGUUAUAUAAGUAUGUUUGAUGUUUUCAUUAUACCUCCUAUUAUGGAUGGUUUUCAAUUGAUGUAAUUAAAAGUUUGUGGUUCCUUCUCUUUAAAUUUCUUG
rnacentral:lncRNA from 1 species